rnacentral:misc_RNA from 1 species
CCAAUUUGUCGCGAACCGGCUUUUAGAAAAUGUAGAAAAUUUUGAACUUUCAUCCGCGCACGACCGAUUCAUAUAUUUCAAGAUGCCAGGGCUGUCAUAAUAAUAUGUAAAAGUAUAUACGACGAUUAUAAAAUAGAACAGAUGCUGUAAAUUUAGAUGCUGGCUAGUAAGCUAAUUUUUAUUUCGCACAAUGAUUGCCAGCGACAUACAAGGCUCCUUAAAGGAAGCUCUAUAUGAAACAUUAACAGAAAUUUUAUCACCGCAUUAUGAAACUCGUAAAGCAGCGGAACAGAGAAUUCAAGCUUUAGAAGUGACGGAGGAAUAUGGAAUACACUUGACAGAAUUUGUCAUUGAUCCCAAUGGGCAUUUACCUAUCAGACAGUUGGCUUCCGUUUUAUUGAAGCAAUAUGUUGAAACACAUUGGUGUUCAUUGGCUGAUAAGUUCCGUCCACCAGAGCUUAACAAUACUGCUAAAAAGAGGAUUAAAGAGUUAUUACCCUUAGGACUUCGAGAAUCUAUUAGUAAGGUACGAACUGCAGUGGCUUAUGCAAUAUCCGGUAUAGCACAUUGGGAUUGGCCUGAAAAUUGGCCUGCCUUGUUUGAUGUGCUUGUCAGCUGUUUAAGAGAGGAGAGCGAAUAUGCUGUUCAUGGAGCAAUGAGAGUCUUGACAGAAUUUAGUCGAGAUGUUACAGACACUCAGCUGCCUAAUGUAGGACCUAUUAUUCUUCAAGAGAUGUACAGGAUAUUUCAAAGUGAAAAUUAUUCGAUUAGAACGCGUGGUCGUGCGGUUGAGAUUUUCAUAACUAUUACAACUUUGGCUGCUAAUAUGGGAAUGCAUGAAAAAGGAUUUACGGAGCAGUAUCUGCAGCCAAUCAUUCCUAUGUUUUGUGAAAAGUUUGUUGAGUGCCUCAGAGUGCCUAACAGCCCAACUAGUGACAGUGGAUUCAAAACAGAUAUUAUUAAAGCCAUAAAUUGUCUUGUCACAAAGUUGCCCAAAUAUGUAUCGCAUCUUUUACCUGAAAUGCUGCCACCCAUAUGGGAAACUUUAUGUCAAAGUGCAAAAACUUAUCAAGAAACGACGGUCAAUGCCGAUGAAGACAUCAAUGAUAAAGAAGUUGAUUCUGAUGGUGAAGUAAUCAAUUUUAACAGUUUGAUUAUUGCAAUAUUUGAAUUUGUCCAGAAUAUCGUGGAACGCAAGAGGUUUAUAAAUAUGUUAGAUAAUAUGCUACCAGAAAUAAUAUAUUAUCUAAUAAUAUUUAUGCAAAUAACAUUCGACCAGAUUCAACAAUGGACAACUAAUCCGAAUCAAUUUGUCGAGGAAGACGAAUGCAUGUUUGAUUAUAAUGUCCGUAUUUCCGCACAAGAAUUUUUAACAACUCUUAUAAAUAAUUUUGAGGAAAAAGCAGUACAUGCGCUUUGCGAUGUAAUUACACGACAUAUUGAAGCAACAAAGGCACUACAAGCCGGUAACGGUGAUGGCAGCAAUAGCAACGAAAGUUGGUGGAAAUUACGAGAAUCGUCUCUUCUAGCAUUGAGCUUAUCUAAGAAUAACGUUGUUGAACAGCAGCAGGCUGGAAUGUUACAGUUCGAUAUUAUCAGAUUUCUAGACACAGUUGUUUUGGGAAUGUUAAAUGACUCAGAAUCGCCACCGUUACUUCUCGGUCGCUGCUUAUGUCUCGGCGGACGAUACGCCAAGAUAAUGCCGCCAGAAGUGAGUUCUCGAUUUUUGGAAGCGACGGUCAAUGGCUUACAGGAAAAUCAACCACCUUGUAUACGCAUCAGUGCUGUUAAAGCAAUCUAUUGGUUUAGCGAAGCGUCAGUUGAGAAAGAUUCCAUCAUCAACAUAAUAGGCUGCCAUAUGCUCAAUAUAUUUCAAGGAUUAUUCAGUCUAGUUAGUCAACCGAACACGGAUGUUCUAAUCUUGGUCAUGGAGACGUUUCAAAUACUAGUCUGGCAACAUAGAGAAUUUACAGCAUCAGUGGAAAACAAGAUUUGUCCUUUGACAAUCGCAGUGUUUGUAAAGUUUCACAGUGACCCGACCAUCCUAGAUAUAUGCCAGAACAUAUUCAAGGACUUGACGCAAAAUCCAAGCUGCAUCGAGCCACUGCAAACUCGUAUAAUACCUACGCUCACGAGCAUGAUGGCGAUAACUCCUAUGAAUAAAUCAAAGGAUGAGGGAUCUCGAGCAGUAGCAUUGGACGUGUUAAAAGUUCUUGUACAAUAUUCACCGACACCUCUGAGUAACGCUUUGGUCGAGACCGCUUUUCCGGCUGCUUGUCACUGCGUUCUCAAUUCGGAGGAUCACGCGACGCUGCAGAAUGGUGGAGAACUCAUACGCAGCUAUUUAUGCGUGGCGGCGGAACAAGUCAUCGUGCAUCGAGACAGCGAAGGACAAACUGGAUUGCAGUACAUAUUGGAAAUAAUCGCUCAACUUCUAAAUCCACAGUCGAGCGAAUUUACUGCCACUUUUGUCGGACGUUUGGUCACGACGCUGAUUAAAAACGUUGGGAACAAUCUGGGCGAAAAUCUUGAUCUAUUAUUGAAAGCGGUGUUGAGCAAGAUGCAAAGCGCUGAAACGUUGAUCGUUAUGCAGAGCCUAUUGAUGAUUUACGCGCAUCUCAUAAAUACGCAGUUUGAUGCUGUGUUGAACUUCCUAUCGACUGUGCCAGGUCCGACCGGACAAAGCGCAUUAGCAUUCGUACUGUCUGAAUGGGUCAGCAGACAGCGUCUGUUUCUCGGUAGGUACGAGCGCAAAGUCGCGACGGUCGCAUUGUGCAAGAUUCUCGAAUACGGAGUCACUCACGGAGAUAGCAGAUUGGACGAGAUUACAGUCAAGGGGGACAUGAUUAUUUCAGGAAUUGAAGAUGGUGUGAGGACCAGAAGUAAAGCUGAAUCGCAACCUUACGAAUGGACUUCGAUGCCUGUACUUGUAAAGAUUUUUAAAGUAAUAAUCAAUGAAUUGGCAAAUGAUAUCGAAAUUAUUAACGCCACUCAAGAUACGGAAACAUAAUUUCGAUGCCUAGAACUCUGAUGAUGAGGAUGAAGACGAAGACGAUGAUGAAUUGAUAGAUCCUGGAAAUGAGACUGAGAACAUUUUACAAUUUGGGGGUACGGAUGAAGAUAAUGACGAUGAAGAGGAUCCGGAAUUAUUGCGAGAUUCUAUUUACCAUUUGAAUCUCG